UGGCUUUUAACUUUGAUGGC
rnacentral:miRNA from 1 species